rnacentral:tRNA from 1 species
GCUUUCGUGAUGUAGCGGUAGCACACUCGGCGUAUAUUCGAGAGGUACAGGUUCGAAUCCUGGUGAGGACA